UACAGAGGUGGCAAGCGUUGUUCGGAAUUAUUGGGCGUAAAGCGCGUGUAGGCGGCGUGACAAGUCGGGUGUGAAAGCCCUCAGCUCAACUGAGGAAGUGCGCCCGAAACUGUCGUGCUUGAGUGCCGGAGAGGGUGGCGGAAUUCCCCAAGUAGAGGUGAAAUUCGUAGAUAUGGGGAGGAACACCGGUGGCGAAGGCGGCCACCUGGACGGUAACUGACGCUGAGACGCGAAAGCGUGGGGAGCAAACAGG
rnacentral:rRNA from 1 species